GACGAACGCUGGCGGCGUGCUUAACACAUGCAAGUCGAACGGAAAGGCCCUGCUUUUGUGGGGUGCUCGAGUGGCGAACGGGUGAGUAACACGUGAGUAACCUGCCCUUGACUUUGGGAUAACUUCAGGAAACUGGGGCUAAUACCGGAUAGGAGCUCCUGCUCCAUGGUGGGGGUCGGAAAGUUUCGGCGGUUGGGGAUGGACUCGCGGCUUAUCAGCUUGUUGGUGGGGUAGUGGCUUACCAAGGUUUUGACGGGUAGCCGGCCUGAGAGGGUGACCGGCCACAUUGGGACUGAGAUACGGCCCAGACUCCUACGGGAGGCAGCAGUGGGGAAUAUUGCAGAAUGGGCGGAAGCCUGAUGCAGCAACGCCGCGUGCGGGAUGACGGCCUUCGGGUUGUAAACCGCUUUCGCCUGUGACGAAGCGUGAGUGACGGUAAUGGGUAAAGAAGCACCGGCUAACUACGUG
rnacentral:rRNA from 1 species